rnacentral:rRNA from 1 species
UACGUAGGUCCCGAACGUUGUCCGGAUUUAUUGGGCGUAAAGCGAGCGCAGGUGGUUUAUUAAGUCUGGUGUAAAAGGCAGUGGCUCAACCAUUGUAUGCAUUGGAAACUGGUAGACUUGAGUGCAGGAGAGGAAAGUGGAAUUCCAUGUGUAGCGGUGAAAUGCGUAGAUAUAUGGAGGAACACCGGUGGCGAAAGCGGCUCUCUGGCCUGUAACUGACACUGAGGCUCGAAAGCGAGGGGAGCAAACAGG